rnacentral:rRNA from 1 species
AGAGUUUGAUCAUGGCUCAGAUUGAACGCUGGCGGCAUGCCUUACACAUGCAAGUCGAACGGUAACAGGUCUUCGGAUGCUGACGAGUGGCGAACGGGUGAGUAAUACAUCGGAACGUGCCCGAUCGUGGGGGAUAACGAGGCGAAAGCUUUGCUAAUACCGCAUACGAUCUACGGAUGAAAGCGGGGGAUCUUCGGACCUCGCGCGGACGGAGCGGCCGAUGGCAGAUUAGGUAGUUGGUGGGAUAAAAGCUUACCAAGCCGACGAUCUGUAGCUGGUCUGAGAGGAUGAUCAGCCACACUGGGACUGAGACACGGCCCAGACUCCUACGGGAGGCAGCAGUGGGGAAUUUUGGACAAUGGGCGAAAGCCUGAUCCAGCCAUGCCGCGUGCAGGAUGAAGGCCUUCGGGUUGUAAACUGCUUUUGUACGGAACGAAAAGCCUCUUUCUAAUAAAGAGGGGUCAUGACGGUACCGUAAGAAUAAGCACCGGCUAACUACGUGCCAGCAGCCGCGGUAAUACGUAGGGUGCAAGCGUUAAUCGGAAUUACUGGGCGUAAAGCGUGCGCAGGCGGUUUUGUAAGACAGAGGUGAAAUCCCCGGGCUCAACCUGGGAACUGCCUUUGUGACUGCAAGGCUGGAGUGCGGCAGAGGGGGAUGGAAUUCCGCGUGUAGCAGUGAAAUGCGUAGAUAUGCGGAGGAACACCGAUGGCGAAGGCAAUCCCCUGGGCCUGCACUGACGCUCAUGCACGAAAGCGUGGGGAGCAAACAGGAUUAGAUACCCCGGUAGU